CUAAAUGAAAAGGUAGAUAGAACAGGUCUUGUUUGCAAAAUAAAUCCAAGACCUACUUAUCUACCAACAGCCAUUACCUA
ensembl:miRNA Mir1839 microRNA mir-1839